GGUGUGUUUUGUAAAACUCACCAAAUACAAACCAAAUUGGUACUGUAGAGAGAGAGAGAGAGCUAUUCACAUUCUACCCAAAACCAGAAUAUAUUAUCAUAUACGCUCUUUCUGCAUUGCGCGAUUGAUCUCUCCAAAUUGCAUAAUGCCAAUGGAUCCACCUAUUACCAAUCUGAGGCUAGUAAUUUAUACUAUAAUUGGAGUUAGUCUUUCGUGUCCAGUGUCUGCGUGGCUUCAAGGAGAAAGGUUGUUUUCUUGGGGAGGAUCUUCUAAAGAAACAUAUCCCGAUGCGACUAUUCGGCAAAUUUUACGUCUGGAAGGAAAGGCAGCAAAAUCUAUGACAUUGGGGAAAUUGGCUAGGUACCUUAGUGCCUAUGGAGGUAUAUGGAGCGAAUUGGCUGAAUCGAAGAAAGAUUGAUGUGGCAUCAGAAUAUUAAUAUUCCACACUUCUCACCCAACUAUUUACUACUAAUCCGCAUGAUGUGUAGUGCACAUUGAAAUAUUUUGUUUAAUUUUAUAUUAUGUUUUGUGUAUAAUACUUAUCAUGUGCAAUAUUUGGGGAUUUGACUUUAAUUAUAUUACUUGCGAUGCUAUUAGGAAGAGGGGAUAAUCAAUAGUAUGAAAUAUUUGCUUGAUUUUUUUAAAA